rnacentral:rRNA from 1 species
AUUGAACGCUGGCGGCAUGCCUUACACAUGCAAGUCGAACGGUAACGCGGGGCAACCUGGCGACGAGUGGCGAACGGGUGAGUAAUGUAUCGGAACGUGCCCAGUUGUGGGGGAUAACUGCUCGAAAGAGCAGCUAAUACCGCAUACGACCUGAGGGUGAAAGCGGGGGAUCGCAAGACCUCGCGCAAUUGGAGCGGCCGAUAUCAGAUUAGGUAGUUGGUGGGGUAAAGGCUCACCAAGCCAACGAUCUGUAGCUGGUCUGAGAGGACGACCAGCCACACUGGGACUGAGACACGGCCCAGACUCCUACGGGAGGCAGCAGUGGGGAAUUUUGGACAAUGGACGCAAGUCUGAUCCAGCCAUGCCGCGUGCGGGAAGAAGGCCUUCGGGUUGUAAACCGCUUUUGUCAGGGAAGAAACGCUCUGGGUUAAUACCUCGGGGUAAUGACGGUACCUGAAGAAUAAGCACCGGCUAACUACGUGCCAGCCGCCGCAGUAAAAC